rnacentral:rRNA from 1 species
GACGAACGCUGGCGGCGUGCUUAACACAUGCAAGCCGAACGGAAAGGCCCUGCUUUUGUGGGGUGCUCGAGUGGCGAACAGGUGAGUAACACGUGAGUAACCUGCCCUUGACUUUGGGAUAACUUCAGGAAACUGGGGCUAAUACCGGAUAGGAGCUCCUGCUGCAUGGUGGGGGUUGGAAAGUUUCGGCGGUUGGGGAUGGACUCGCGGCUUAUCAGCUUGUUGGUGGGGUAGUGGCUUACCAAGGCUUUGACGGGUAGCCGGCCUGAGAGGGUGACCGGCCACAUUGGGACUGAGAUACGGCCCAGACUCCUACGGGAGGCAGCAGUGGGGAAUAUUGCACAAUGGGCGGAAGCCUGAUGCAGCAACGCCGCGUGCGGGAUGACGGCCUUCGGGUUGUAAACCGCUUUCGCCUGUGACGAAGCGUGAGUGACGGUAAUGGGUAAAGAAGCACCGGCUAACUACGUGCCAGCAGCCGCGGUGAUACGUGGGGUGCGAGCGUUGUCCGGAUUUAUUGGGCGUAAAGGGCUCGUAGGUGGUUGAUCGCGUCGGAAGUGUAAUCUUGGGGCUUAACCCUGAGCGUGCUUUCGAUACGGGUUGACUUGAGGAAGGUAGGGGAGAAUGGAAUUCCUGGUGGAGCGGUGGAAUGCGCAGAUAUCAGGAGGAACACCAGUGGCGAAGGCGGUUCUCUGGGCCUUUCCUGACGCUGAGGAGCGAAAGCGUGGGGAGCGAACAGGCUUAGAUACCCUGGUAGUCCACGCUGUAAACGGUGGGUACUAGGUGUGGGGUCCAUUCCACGGGUUCCGUGCCGUAGCUAACGCUUUAAGUACCCCGCCUGGGGAGUACGGCCGCAAGGCUAAAACUCAAAGGAAUUGACGGGGCCCCGCACAAGCGGCGGAGCAUGCGGAUUAAUUCGAUGCAACGCGUAGAACCUUACCUGGGUUUGACAUGGAUCGGGAGCGCUCAGAGAUGGGUGUGCCUCUUUUGGGGUCGGUUCACAGGUGGUGCAUGGCUGUCGUCAGCUCGUGUCGUGAGAUGUUGGGUUAAGUCCCGCAACGAGCGCAACCCUUGUUCACUGUUGCCAGCACGUUAUGGUGGGGACUCAGUGGAGACCGCCGGGGUCAACUCGGAGGAAGGUGGGGAUGACGUCAAGUCAUCAUGCCCCUUAUGUCCAGGGCUUCACGCAUGCUACAAUGGCUGGUACAGAGAGUGGCGAGCCUGUGAGGGUGAGCGAAUCUCGGAAAGCCGGUCUCAGUUCGGAUUGGGGUCUGCAACUCGACCUCAUGAAGUCGGAGUCGCUAGUAAUCGCAGAUCAGCAACGCUGCGGUGAAUACGUUCCCGGGGCU